ACUAGAAUUUGAUAGCGAACAUAAGAGAAUGAGGAGUUAGUUUGAAAAUUUAAGCCUAGAGAAUUGCUUGUUUCAUGCUUCAAGUUAGGGAAUGUUUUGGAGUAGAAUUUGAAGACCAUAGGAUAUGCCUAUUCCUUAAUUGAGGAGCUUAAAGACUUCGGUCCAAUAUACUUGUUCAUUUCAUGUUAUUUGUUGUUUUGUUAAUUAGGAUUAAUUAAGUUAAGCAUGAUUAGUUAAACCUAGAUUAGUUAAUAUAAACCUUGGUUAAUUAAGUUAGAUAAGCAAAAUUGUUAAACUAAGCAAGCACACACCUCCACUCUUUUUGUCUUGCACAUUUUGUCCCACCUUGAGUCAUCAAAACCUAAGGAAAGGAAAGAAAAUCUGUGGGAAAUUUGAGAAGGAGCUAGAGAGAAGAAGAAGCAAAGGGAAGAAGAGAGAAAGAAGAGAGAGAAAGCAGAGAAGCUCAAGGAUUGCACCAAAACUCAUUCCUUAACAAGUCUAAGGUCAAGUUUUGGAAGAAGGAAGAAUCCCUUGUUUAACCGAGCCAUUUGUGAGUAGUGAUUUAGUAAUGUUCAAACGAUUAUGUUUUCAAUGCAAACUUGGAUUAUGUUUACAAGUUAUGAUGUGUUUUGCUAUGAAUGAAUAUUCUAUACUCUCUUACCAUGUACUUAGAUGGCAUUCUUGGAUCAUGUCCCACAAUUGGGGAAAUAUCCAAUCAUGUAUUAUGGCCGAGCUCAGCUUGUUCUGUUUAGCCGGUACCCAGGCCGGUUAAGAUCCUUGUAAUCCUUGAAAUGUCCAUCAUUAUGUAAUGUUUGCAAGUCAAGUAUGUAUUGCCUUGUUCAAAUUAAAGUUAUGUUUCAAUGUUAUAUAUAUGAAGCUCAUUGAUGUUCAUUCA